AUUUUAUCAUAUUUUUUUUCAGGAUUUCAAGAAACUUUUGAAGUUUUAAAACAUCAGUAAAAGGAAACUUCCUAACCAAAUACUGCUAUAAAUUGUUGUUUUAUACAUUUUAUAAUAUAAAAUGUAUUAUAAUGUAUGUAAUGUUUACCUUGUCUACAUAUAUUAUUAUGUAAGCACUGUUUUUGCACUUUUUCACAAAAUUAAAAUAGUUUUGUUCAUGAAGUUUUUUAAUAUGCUACCAUUAUGAAAUUUUGCAGACACUUAUAUUACGACUUUUUAAAAUUUUAUUUACUAUUAGGGCAAGGUUUUAUUUGUUCUGAUGAUAAGCUCAUUUACCUCCAUAAAUUUUAUCAAUAUCAGGUAACAAGACAAGUUUUGAUGCUAAGCUUUCUCACCUUUUCCAGUUUGUGUAGAUAUCUUGCCUAAUGCUGAAGGAUAUAAAAGAUUUUUCAACAAUUCAGUGACAUCGAUUGGUUUCGCUGAUCAGUUGAAAAAAUUUACAGGAAUGCAAUCACUUCUUCAGUGCUCUUAUUGCAAUUAUUCAACGUAUUGGAGAACAAGUUUCAAGAACCAUUCUUUUGUACAUUCUAAAGAGAGACCUCAUAAGUGUCCUGAGUGCCCUAAUGGUUUUACUACAAGGCAGAAUCUUAAGAGACACUUAUUGGCAAUGCACAGAUAACUGAUAAAAAUUUUCAUUCUACAAAAUCCAGUCAAAAUACUUGGUUCUUCAAAAGAACAAACAUAUUUAGUUUUACAUUUUAUUAUAUAUAAAUAUAUAUCAAAAACAUUACUUGUAAUGCAGUCUUUUAGCUAUUAUUAAUCCACAUGAGAUUCUGAUCCUUAAAAUAUACCUAAAUUAGAUUCUAAUAUUAUAUUUAAAAAAGAAUAUAUGGUUUGAUAAUAAAAAUAUCAAUACAAAAGCUACCAACAACAAUGGUCAGUGACUAUUGGUAACAUGUCUGUGUGUCUGCAUUACCAAUUUUUUUUUUAAAAAUUUCGUGUGUAUUCAAGCUAAAGCAAAAUUAUUGCUGUUAGUCUGUCUUGAGAAUAAACACAGAUUUUAAAAUCAUUUUAAUAUGGUGGCUAACUGUUAUUGUGAACUACAGGGGUGCUUCAUUGAUAUUUUCUAUUGUACUGUGUUGGCCACCUAAUGAAAGGAAUUAAAAGUUUGCAUUUUAUCCUUCUUCACACUGUGAAUUAACUUAGGACAAUAAAUUUAUUCUAUCUACUAUAUUAAUUUAUUUCUUAUCUAUUAGAAAUCUGGCUUGUAAUCGAUAUUUUCUAUUACAAAAUGUUGGCCACCUAAUAAAAGGAUUUAAAAGUUUGUAUUUUAUCCUGAGUCAACUCUAAGGCGAUAAUUUUAUCCUAUCACAUUUGUUUAUCCCUUGGUUUUAAAAGUUUUUAGAGGCUCUGUUUCAUAUGUUAGUAAUGCAGAACAUUUUUUAUGACAAAUGUGAUUUUAUUAGAAUUAUUAAGUAUGUCAAGAAAUGUUUCACUUGUUACUUUCAAACUAUGUUAUAGACUUUCGUAUUAAUAAAUUAUUUUCUUCUAUGUAGCAUAUGGGGCAAGUUUUUUUUAAAAAUAAGCAUGACUUGGGGAUUAAACUCUUAUUUAAAUAAUUUAAUUCAAUAUAAUAUUUAGGUCAAAUAAAAUAUAAUUGAUACAAUUGUACAUUUAUUCUAUCCAACAUCUUAGAAAUUAUAAUUAAAAUUUAAAGGGCGCUUAAUCAAUAUUUGUUUGAAUAUUCACAUGCUUGUUCAGGCAUGUAAUGUUUUAAACUAUGUAUUAUAGAAAUCUUUACAUGAAGUAUGUAUUAUAGAAAUCUUUUGCCCAUGGCAUGUUUGGCAAUUUAAUUUUUGAACCCUACUUCAUUCUAAAAAAAUUUUCAAAUAAAGUUUACAAUGAGCAGAAAUGCUACAACAGUUUCAAAUUAAACUUCAAUACAAAAAUUUUAAAAAUUUAUUUUUAACAAAACAAAUUUAGAGCUUUAUUCAAGAGACCCAAUAAUUUUUAAACUGCAAGAUUUUCCUUACAGUCUUGUAUAAUUUGUAGAUAGUCUCCUAGAGCAACUUUUAAAAUUGUUAAUCUUGUUGUAUGAUGAAAAUCAGAAGAAACAAUUAAGCAGAAUUGGGUAACAGUGACAUGUUUCAAUAAAGACAGUUGCAGCUAGGCAUGAAUAACAGGAUAAUACCAAAAUUUUUGACUAGCUAACAAGAUUGAAUUUUGUACUGUAAGCAAUUCAUGCCCAGCUGGUGUUAAAAUUGUGAACUAAUGUAAGUGGGAUUUUAGAUUGCAAUCCUUUUUUCCCCCUCCUUUUUAUUUUGUACCUUUCUUUCAAUGUCCUCUUAUUCCAUAGUUCCAAAAUUAAAUGCUUAUUGAUUUCUCUUAAAAGGAAUAUUGGACAACUGUCAUCUACAUAUCUUCAAACUAAAAAUAUAUUUCAGUGAACAAAAUAGGAAGAAAAAUGGAUGCAAGAAAAAUAAAAAAACACUCCCUAAUUUUUGUAAUACAUAGUUCUAAAACAAAAACAUUCUGGUCUUUUUGUUAAAAACAAAAUAUGUGGCCAGUAUCAGAAAAUCACUUCGAACAGUGCACUGAAUAUUCUCGUUGAAUUGCUUUAUGAAUGCCUUAAAGAAAUAACUUAGUUUUAUAAGCAGAUAUAAAUAUAUAGUGAUUGCUAGCAUUAUGAUGAUACAAUCGACCAAAUCUUCCUAACUGAAGAUUAUACAAAUCAUUUUCUAUAUAUUUUAACUACAGUUUAAUUGUUUUUGUUUGCAGACAUCUCAUCUGUUAUGGAAGGGUACACAAGAUUCUGCAACAAUUCAGUGUCAUACAAUUAUCAUCAAGUAAUAACAAAAACUCCUACAAAAGAGCCUUUUCUUCAAUGUGCCUUUUGCAGUUACACGACCAAGAGGAGAACAAGCUUAAAAAAUCAUAGACUUGUACAUUCCAAAGAAAGGCCAUUUAAAUGUACCAAAUGCCCCAAUGGUUUUACUACAAGACAGAAUCUUAAAAGACAUUAUAUUGCAUUGCAUAGGUGACUGAAUAUACUUUUGCACUUUGUAAUUGUUUCUUAAAAAAUAAAUUUUAAAAAAAAUA
rnacentral:lncRNA from 1 species